rnacentral:rRNA from 1 species
UACGUAGGGGGCUAGCGUUGUCCGGAAUCAUUGGGCGUAAAGAGCGUGUAGGCGGUCCGGUAAGUCCGCUGUGAAAGUCGGGGGCUCAACCCCUGGAUGCCGGGUGGAUACUGUCGGGCUAGAGUCGGAAGAGGCGAGUGGAAUUCCUGGUGUAGCGGUGAAAUGCGCAGAUAUCAGGAGGAACACCGAUGGCGAAGGCAGCUCGCUGGGACGUAACUGACGCUGAGGACGAGAACGUGGGGAGCAAACAGG